rnacentral:rRNA from 1 species
AACGAACGUUAGCGGCGCGCCUAACACAUGCAAGUCGCACGAGAAAGGGCUUCGGCCCCGGUAAAGUGGCGCACGGGUGAGUAACACGUGGGUAACCUGCCCUCGAGCGGGGGAUGACAUUCCGAAAGGAGUGCUAAUACCGCAUAAGACCACGACCUCGAAAGAGGAUGGGGUCAAAGCUGGCCUCUAUACAUAAGCUAGCACUUGAGGAUGGGCCCGCGGCGCAUCAGGUAGUUGGUGAGGUAACGGCUCACCAAGCCUAAGACGCGUAGCUGGUCUGAGAGGAUGAUCAGCCACACUGGAACUGAGACACGGUCCAGACUCCUACGGGAGGCAGCAGUGGGGGAAUCUUGCGCAAUGGACGAAAGUCUGACGCAGCGACGCCGCGUGAGUGAUGAAGG